rnacentral:rRNA from 1 species
UGGGGAAUAUUGCACAAUGGGCGAAAGCCUGAUGCAGCAACGCCGCGUGAGUGAUGAAGGCCUUCGGGUUGUAAAGCUCUAUCUUUUGGGACGAUAAUGACGGUACCAAAGGAGGAAGCCACGGCUAACUACGUGCCAGCAGCCGCGGUAAUACGUAGGUGGCAAGCGUUGUCCGGAUUUACUGGGCGUAAAGGAUGCGUAGGCGGAUUUUUAAGUGAGAUGUGAAAUACCCGGGCUUAACUUGGGUGCUGCAUUUCAAACUGGGAAUCUAGGAGUGCGGGAGAGGAGAAUGGAAUUCCUAGUGUAGCGGUGAAAUGCGUAGAGAUUAGGAAGAACACCAGUGGCGAAGGCGAUUCUCUGGACCGUAACUGACGCUGAGGCAUGAAAGCGUGGGUAGCAAACAGGAUUAGAUACCCUGGUAGUCCACGCCGUAAACGAUGAGUACUAGGUGUAGGAGGUAUCGACCCCUUCUGUGCCGCAGUUAACACAAUAAGUACUCCGCCUGGGAAGUACGAUCGCAAGAUUAAAAC